rnacentral:rRNA from 1 species
AUUGAAUGCUGGCGGCAGGCCUAACACAUGCAAGUCGAACGAGUGGCGGACGGGUGAGUAAUGUCUGGGAAACUGCCUGAUGGAGGGGGAUAACUACUGGAAACGGUAGCUAAUACCGCAUACCAUAGGAUGUGCCCAGAUGGGAUUAGCUAGUAGGUGGGGUAAAGGCUCACAUAGGGUACGCUACCUAGCUGGGCUGAGAGGAUGACUAGCCACACUGGAACUGCAAGACGGUCAAGUGGCGUACGGUAGGUAGCAGAGGGCAAUAUUGCACAAUGGGAGUACGUCUGAUACAGCCACGCCGCGUGUAUGAAGAAGGCCUUCGGGUUGUAAAGUUCUUUCAGCGAGGAGGCGGUACCCGUAGAAGAAGCACCGGCUGACGCCGUGCCAGCCGCCGCGGUAAUAC